rnacentral:rRNA from 1 species
UACGUAGGGUCCGAGCGUUGUCCGGAAUUAUUGGGCGUAAAGAGCUCGUAGGCGGUUUGUCGCGUCUGCUGUGAAAUCCCGAGGCUCAACCUCGGGUCUGCAGUGGGUACGGGCAGACUGGAGUGUGGCAGAGGAAGGUGGAAUUCCAGGUGUAGCGGUGAAAUGCGUAGAGAUCUGGAGGAACACCGAUGGCGAAGGCAGCUCGCUGGGACGGUACUGACGCUGAGACGCGAAAGCGUGGGGAGCAAACAGG